rnacentral:tRNA from 1 species
GGGGGUAUAGCUCAGCUGGUAGAGCACUUGGUUCGCAAUCAAGGGGUCGAGGGUUCGAGUCCCUUUACCUCCACCA